AUGUGUACCUGGAGAACACCCAGGCUUUCAGUGAGUCAGGGUCUGGCUUCGCAGGAGGCCUGGGCAGGCGAUGGGCUCCCAUAUUUUGCAUUCCUGAGGGAAGGCCUGCUUUCCUCCAGCAGACUGGAUUCCCACCAUUGGCUUGUGACCGUUCCCAUCUUUCAUUUUGUUUACCCAGAAUUCUCUGCUGACAUGGAGUUGGCCACUUCUAGUUUUCCGCAAGAAACCACCUCCUCCUAUCUUGUGGAGGAAGCCACCUUCAGCUCUGUGGAAGAAGCCUUCUUCAGCUUGGUGGAAGAAGCCAUUGAGGUCUCAGAUGUCCUUGCUGUUUAUUCUGAAGAGCUCAUGACUGGAACACCAGAAAACGAAUCAAAUUCUGCAUUAGCUAUGAUGAUCACUGCUAUCCACUACUUUCUAAGAAGAUUCUGUGCUGUUGAAGAUGCCUACCACUAUGCUAUAGGAGGUCUACUGCAGGAAACUAGAAAAACAUAG
rnacentral:lncRNA from 1 species